GUAGCCGACCUGAGAGGGUGAUCGGCCACAUUGGAACUGAGACACGGUCCAAACUCCUACGGGAGGCAGCAGUGGGGAAUAUUGCACAAUGGGCGCAAGCCUGAUGCAGCAACGCCGCGUGAGCGAUGAAGGCCUUCGGGUCGUAAAGCUCUGUCCUCAAGGAAGAUAAUGACGGUACUUGAGGAGGAAGCCCCGGCUAACUACGUGCCAGCAGCCGCGGUAAUACGUAGGGGGCUAGCGUUAUCCGGAUUUACUGGGCGUAAAGGGUGCGUAGGCGGUCUUUC
rnacentral:rRNA from 1 species